AGAGUUUGAUCCUGGCUCAGAAUCAACGCUGGCGGCGUGCCUAACACAUGCAAGUCGAACGAGAAGGUGACUUCGGUCACUGGAAAGUGGCGUCCGGGUGAGUAACACGUGGGUAAUCUACCUCUGGGUGGGGAAUAACGUCUCGAAAGAGACGCUAAUACCGCAUAAUGCAGCGGCACCUAAUGGUGAAUAGUUGUUAAAGCGGGGGAUCGCAAGACCUCGCGCCUGAAGAGGAGCCUGCGGCAGAUUAGCUUGUUGGUAGGGUAAUGGCCUACCAAGGCUGCGAUCUGUAGCUGGUCUGAGAGGACGGCCAGCCACACUGGCACUGACACACGGGCCAGACUCCUACGGGAGGCAGCAGUGGGGAAUUUUGGGCAAUGGGCGAAAGCCUGACCCAGCAACGCCGCGUGAGGGAGGAAAUCCUUCGGGAUGUAAACCUCGCAAGCAAGGGAAGAAUGCUUCAGACCUAACACGUCUGAAGAGGGACGGUACCUUGCGUAAGCCACGGCUAACUACGUGCCAGCCGCCGCGGUAAUAC
rnacentral:rRNA from 1 species